rnacentral:rRNA from 1 species
GAUGAACGCUAGCGAUAGGCCUAACACAUGCAAGUCGAGGGGCAGCACAUGAGUAGCAAUACGAUGGUGGCGACCGGCGCACGGGUGAGUAACACGUAUGCAACCUACCUUUAACAGGGGAAUAACCCGUUGAAAAACGGACUAAUACUCCAUAACACAGGGGUCCCGCAUGGGAAUAUUUGUUAAAGAUUUAUCGGUUGAAGAUGGGCAUGCGUUCCAUUAGCUUGUUGGUGAGGUAACGGCUCACCAAGGCCACGAUGGAUAGGGGAACUGAUGGGUUUAUCCCCCACACUGGAACUGAGACCCGGUCCAGACUCCUACGGGAGGCAGCAUUGAGGAACAUUGGUCAAUGGAGGCAACUCUAACCCAGCCAAUUCGCGUGAAGGAUGAAGGUCUUAUGGAUUGUAAACUUUUUUUGCAAGGGAAUAAAGUGGGGGACGUGUCCUCCUUGGCAUGUACCUUGCGAAAAAGGAUCGGCUAACCCCGUGCCAGCCGCCGCCGUAA